AGAGUUUGAUCAUGGCUCAGGAUGAACGCUGGCGGCGUGCCUAAUACAUGCAAGUCGAGCGGUAAGGCCCUUUCGGGGGUACACGAGCGGCGGACGGCUGAGUAACACGUAGGAACGUACCCCAAACUGAGGGAUAACUGCUCGAAAGAGUAGCUAAUACCGCAUGUGCUCUUCGGAGUAAAGCUACGGCGGUUUGGGAACGGCCUGCGUCCGAUUAGCUUGUUGGUGAGGUAAUGGCUUACCAAGGCGACGAUCGGUAGCUGGUCUGAGAGGAUGAUCAGCCAGACUGGGACUGAGAACGGCCCAGACUCCUACGGGAGGCAGCAGUAGGGAAUUUUCCACAAUGGGCGAAAGCCUGAUGGAGCAACGCCGCGUGCAGGAUGAAGGCCUUCGGGUUGUAAACUGCUUUUAUCUGUGACGAAUAUGACGGUAGCAGAUGAAUAAGCCUCGGCUAACUCCGUGCCAGCAGCCGCGGUCAUACGGAGGAGGCAAGCGUUAUCCGGAAUUACUGGGCGUAAAGAGUUGCGUAGGUGGCAUUGUGUGUCGGUAGUGAAAGCGUGUGGCUCAACCAUAUAUCCAUUACCGAAACUGCAAGGCUAGAGGACGAGAGAGGUUAUUGGAAUUCCCAGUGUAGGAGUGAAAUCCGUAGAUAUUGGGAGGAACACCGAUGGCGUAGGCAGAUAACUGGCUCGUUCCUGACACUAAGGCACGAAAGCGUGGGUAGCAAACGGGAUUAGAUACCCCCGUAGUCC
rnacentral:rRNA from 1 species